rnacentral:rRNA from 1 species
UAGGGAAUCUACGGCAAUGGACGAAAGUCUGACCGAGCAACGCCGCGUGAGUGAAGAAGGUUCUCGGAUCGUAAAACUCUGUUGUUAGAGAAGAACAAGGACGUUAGUAACUGAACGUCCCCUGACGGUAUCUAACCAGAAAGCCACGGCUAACUACGUGCCAGCAGCCGCGGUAAUACGUAGGUGGCAAGCGCUGUCCGGAUUUAUUGGGCGUAAAGCGAGCGCAGGCGGUUUCUUAAGUCUGAUGUGAAAGCCCCCGGCUCAACCGGGGAGGGUCAUUGGAAACUGGGAGACUUGAGUGCAGAAGAGCGGAGUUGAAUUCCAUGUGUAGAGGUGAAAUGCGUAGAUAUAUGGAGGAACACCAGUGGCGAAGGCGGCUUUCUGGUCUGUAACUGACGCUGAGGCUCGAAAGCGUGGGGAGCAAACAGG